ensembl:lncRNA
CUUCUGUCUCGCUCCAAUUUAUAGGAGGGAGAGGAGGUUCUUUGAAAUAUGUAUGCCCGGCGUGAGAUUAAGAAACAGCGGUUCAAAUGUUGGUCCGACCAGUUUAUUACAAAUGUUAAUAAGGGAGAUGGGGAAAGGGGAGGACGGACGCUAUUAAGGAUUGGGGUGAUGGGGAAGGGAAGGCGAGCGAUAGAAAAGAUAGAAAGAGGCAAGAAUUGCGUAAAGCGGGGAUAGUCACCACCAGGAUCCGGCAGCAGUCCCGUUGCACGAUGUUCCGACGGUCCGAGGCCGAAGGGCAGGAGCAGCGAGGCCGGUCUGGGGCAGCGAGAGGAUGCAGGUCAGGGAGGAAGCAGCAGGUCUCAGGUAGCAGGCCCAGGGAAGUCCGUCAGCAAACGGUCCGUAGAGGAGGAUCGGAAGGCAGGAAGCUCGUGUCGUGGUGAGAGAUCAGUCUCCACGUAGAGAUCCGUCUACCCAUUGCGGUGAGAGAUCAGUUGGCAGAGAACCCCUCAAGUCUGUCGUGGUGAGAGAUAAGCCUCUCCCGUUGCCGUGGUUGUGGUGAAGGAUCAGCUUCCACCGUUGUGGUUAUUGGACCCUCUUUUAUCCUCCAUUUUCUGCUGCCUACGUGACAUUCCUGGGGGCUUGAGCAAGAGUCCUGUGCAUACCUCCUGAGAUGGCCAUUUUCCUUGAGAUAAGUCCACACAAAAAGACCGUUUCCCGGCCAUUAGCGGCAGCUUAUCUCUCUCUCGAU